rnacentral:tRNA from 1 species
CGGCCCGUAGCUCAGCGGUCCAGAGCGCCCGGCUGUAGACAGCCCCCGGGGGUACAUCUCCAAAGCCCCCCGGGCCUGUAGCGGGCGGUCCCGGGUUCGAAUCCCGGCGGGCCGA